rnacentral:rRNA from 1 species
GUGGGGAAUAUUGGACAAUGGGCGCAAGCCUGAUCCAGCCAUGCCGCGUGAGUGAUGAAGGCCCUAGGGUUGUAAAGCUCUUUUGUGCGGGAAGAUAAUGACGGUACCGCAAGAAUAAGCCCCGGCUAACUUCGUGCCAGCAGCCGCGGUAAUACGAAGGGGGCUAGCGUUGCUCGGAAUCACUGGGCGUAAAGGGUGCGUAGGCGGGUCUUUAAGUCAGGGGUGAAAUCCUGGAGCUCAACUCCAGAACUGCCUUUGAUACUGAAGAUCUUGAGUUCGGGAGAGGUGAGUGGAACUGCGAGUGUAGAGGUGAAAUUCGUAGAUAUUCGCAAGAACACCAGUGGCGAAGGCGGCUCACUGGCCCGAUACUGACGCUGAGGCACGAAAGCGUGGGGAGCAAACAGGAUUAGAUACCCCUGUAGUCC